rnacentral:lncRNA from 1 species
GAUAGGCUGGUCCAGACUCGAAGUUUUACAGACUGCCGUCAUAUAGCUGUAAUAUUGCUGAGUGCGGCGUUAAACAACAAACAAACAAACAAACAGUUACAGUGUCAAACUAAUAAUAUCAUUGAGCUUUAAUGAGUUUAUUUUUUCAAGUAUUUAAGGACGAUAAAGUCAGACCAAAUUCAGCUCCCGUGACGUGGAUGAAUCUGCCAAGUGAUUGAUUGCUUAAACAUAUUUUGUAACUUUGAACUAUUUUGUAACAAACAGCUGUGUUUGUAUAUUUUCGUUUUCUUCCAUAAUACAUGACCAAAUGACAGCCCUUCAUACCAUGUACCCGUACAUGUUUGAAAAGAGGCAAAUUUCGAACAGCCAUAAAUGACAUCACGUUUUUGUCAAUCGUCCAGGCGCCAGGUAUCGUAUGCCGCACAGACACUCGACUAUGAAGCAUAGUCUUGCAUGUAAGAUUAAGAAUGUGUCAGUUUAUAUGGGACCAGUGAAGCUUGAGGGCCCCGAUAAGCCUAAGUCUAACCCAUGACGUCAUCCGAUCCAGUAGGACACUUGGAAUGGCCAGGCACAUUCACAGAAGAGAAGGCAGCAUCAAAUGCAGCAAAGCCUUAGAUUUAAGGCAACAAUUAAGUUUUGGGAGAAAGUAGGGGUUAGGGAACUCAAGUAUUAGACCCUGUCGUUCAUGCCCUCAUCUGUCCUUUAAAUUAAGGUAUUGACUUUCGAUAACAAGCCACGAAAAGGCAUUGUAUUUGGUCAAUAUAAUAUGGCUAUUCUGGUGUUAAAUGAUAUCUUACACUUAUUUAUGCUCUAAUGGUGUUUGGGGAUAUAAUGUCAAAUGACUGGUUAAAAGCUCGAUUGAUAAAUAACAUUGAACACCGGUGAGUAUACUGUAAUAGUGUAUUUGGAUGUACAAAUAGAGCCAUUCUGAUACUGGAAAUCUUUUAAAAAGACCUUAUACCACUGCUUGAAAACGCAUUAGGCCUUACGUACAUGAAAACUUUGAUCCUUGGCUUCAAAAAAUAUCAAUUAAAGUCCUUGAAUUUGAGCUUUAUCAUGAAACAUGUGUGGAAUGGCCUUGUCCAUCUACGGGUUAGUUGUCAAUUGAAACUUCACAGCGGAGAGAUUACUUACUGUAAAAGGUGACUAUGCUUGUCGUAAGACCUGGUUGAUGCAUGUCAUCGUAUCCCAAUGCGUCGAUCGAUCCUGUUGGGUAGAGUGUCGGGUAGAUGCAGAAGACACACACCCUCCUCCUGCCCUCCUCUUCCCGACCCUCUCCAUCCUGCUCCUUCUUCUUUCCCAAAUCUUUCUUCUCCCCCAAAUCCUUCUCCUCUCGCAAACGCUGCCCUUCUUCUCCAUCCUCUUCCUCUUCCCCAUCCUUCUUCUCUCCCAAAUCUGUCUUCUCUCCCAAGUCCUCCUCUCCCAAAUCCUUCUCCUCUUCCCAAUCUAUCUUCUCUCCCAAAUCCCCCUCCUCUUCCCCAGCCUCUUCCUCUUCUCCAUCCUCCUCUUCCCCAUCCUUCUCUUCCCCAUCCUUCUCUUCUCCCAAAUCUUUCUUCUCUAAAUUCCCCUCUUCUUACCCAGCCACUUCCUCUUCCCCUGCCUCUUCUGUCUUCCUCCUCCUUCCUAUCCUCCCUGAAUGUCAGCAGUAGGUCUGGGAGACGACGAUGAUUUGGGGGACAUAUCAGUCGAUUCUCUCGAUUCCGACUCCGAGUCCGACUCCCAGGCAGAGAUAAGCGGUAAGUAACAGUAAUUCAUUUUCAGUAAAUUGAGUAUGUCAGUGUCAAAGAAAUGGUGGGAAUAUGAAUUUGUUAUGUUUUUGCAGUUUUCGUAAUUGUAGGCUAGAUCCACUCGUGACAGUUGUGAUGUUUCAAAUGUUAACAUUAUCUACCAUACCAUGAGGUCAUAGUAGAAACAGCCGACGUCCUUGUUUAGUAUUUCAUGAAAUAUGAAUCUUAGAAAUGAUUUGAAAGAAGGGCUCUCAUGAUAGUGAAGUUUUAACAUGUCUACAUGUGGCCUACACGUGCUUUUGGUUAAGUGCAGUGAUAUUAAUGGAAAAAUGUCUUUGUUAAAAAUUAAAAUUAUCUUGAAGGACACACUAGUUCACACUUUGGACCUGAAGCCAUAUUUUUAAAUGAGUAUAAUGAGUCAGUCCUCAAAUAUAAAAUGACAUUCUGCACAGGAGGAAUGGAAUGCCGAGCUCUUUCGUUAGGAAACGACCACAUGGGGGCUCGACAGUUGUGAGAAGACAGGGUCCACUGCUGGCAGUGCUCUUUUCAGACAGGAAGGUCUUCACAACCCUAUCUACUAUGGGUAGUCAAAGAAUCGAAGAUGGGCUUAACUCAAGGGGCCGGUCUGUCACUCUCCCCUCAGUCGUUAGACUUUACAACACUCUAAUGGGGGGAGUUGACAUUGGGGAUCAACUCAUUGGUGUCUAUGAUCCCCGCAAGUCCGCUCCGUGAAGCUGUGGAAGAAAGUUGUAAUCAACUUUCGUCUCACAGCAUCAGUUAAAGCAUAUCAGACAUUCUUGAACACUCAUGGCAGAACGACCACCCGUCUGGACUUCCACAUGUCUCUUCUCCACUCACUCGUCAAGAACACUCAGGUGAAGAGGAGGACUGGCAGGCCCAGGAUCCAGCCUCCUUCCCGACGACUGACCGGACGUCACUUCAUGGAAGUGCUGCCUGAAGGGAAGCGGAAACAGUGUGUUCUCUGCAGAAAGAGACAGAGGACCAUCGAUGGCUCCGCAGGAAAGGUCAGGACCUGGUGUCCUGACUGCCACGUUGGCCUCUGUGCACGCUGUUUACAUCAGUAUCACACAGCUGAUCACUUUGAAGAGUGAAAGGCUGUGUGUACUGGCAUAUGAUAGAACAUACACUCAUGUUCCAUCAUAUCAAUCCUUUAAGCAGUUUCCCCAUCUGUGACGUCAGAAACCUAUGAUUGUGGGUUCGAAUCCCGGUCGCCCCGGUCAUGUUUCUAGGUUUGUCAGCACCAUACCCGUGCUCGUGGGUUUCACCGAAGUGGUAAACGUCUGAGACCUACAUCACUUCGGGCUUUCCUCCAACAUUAAGCUGACACGCCGCGAUAUAACUGGAAUACUGUUAAAAGCGGCGUUAAACCCAACUCACUCACUCACUCACUCACUCCCCAUCUGUGUGCUUCAUUGUAAAUAACUAGUGAGCGAGUAGGACUUACGCCACACUUGCAAUAUCCAAGCGACAUCACAGCGAGAUAUUGUAUAUAUGUACUCAUUGUAAAUUUUUCAAAUGUGUGUAUAUAUAUUAAAGGAUGAUAUUGUGGAGAGAGUAUGACGUACAUAUGUUCAUAUUAUGUUCUCUUUUUAUUGUACAUGUAAUUAUUGUGUGUAUGUAAGCAUCUGUUCGUGAGUAGGACUUCCCACUGCAUCUGCAAUAUUCCAGCAACAUCGCAGCGAAUCUUUGUAAAUAGAUAAUACAUAUAUUGUAUAUAAUGUACUCAUUGUAAAUUUUUCAUAUGCGUGUAUAUAUAUUAAAGGAUGAUAUUGUGAGAGAGUAUGGCGUAACACCGUAUUUGCAAUAUAACAGCAACAUCAUGGCGAUUCAUUGUAAAAAGAUCAUUGUCUAUUGUAUAUGAUUAUGUACUUAUUGUAUAUGAAGUGAGUUUGUUUUAUGCCUCUUUUAGCAAUAUUCCCGCAAAAAUAUGUCAGUUUAAUGUACAUAUGUUCAUAUUAUGUUCUCUUUUUAUUGUACAUGUAAUUAUUGUGUGUAUGUAAGGAUCUGUUUGUGAGUAGAACUUCCCACGGCAUCUGCAAUAUUCCAGCAACAUCGCAGCGAAUCUAUGUAACUAGAUUAUGUAUAUAGUAUAUAUCUACUUACUGUAAGUACUCAAUAUAUAUAUAUCUGUGAGAAAGUAUGACUCAAUGCUGUAUUUGCAAUAUAACAGCAACAUCACAGCGAUUCAUUGUAAAUAGAUUAAAUUAUAUUGAUGAUACAUUUGCGAUAUUCCAGUUAAUUCGUGGCGAUUCAUUGUAUAUGGAUUAUUGAUCUUUUUUCACAAUUAUGUACUUCGUGUAAAUAGAGUGAGUAUGAUUAAUGCCGCUUUCAGCAGUAUUCCAGCAAAGAUGCGGCACUUUUUAAAAAAACUUUAUUGUACAUAGUUGAUAUAUUAUUCACAUGUAAAUACUGUCAAUAAAUAUGCAUAUAUUUAGA